rnacentral:lncRNA from 1 species
CGACGGGGGAAGAGGGGACCGGUGGCAGCUGGGGAGAGAUGGGCCGAGAGCUCAGGGAGGUGGUCAGGGCUCGGGGAGGUAGGAGGUGGCCAAGGGGCUCAGUGUCCGAUGGAAUGGGGCUCGGGGAAGCGAGAUCCGAUGGUCAGUGGCUCAGGGAGGCGGCUGGUGGCUCGAGGCAGUGGGAUCCAAUGAUGGGGGAAAGAGGGGGAUCGGAGGCAUGGAAAGAGGGGGUUGGUCGCCGAAGGGGGAGCCAAUCCAGAAACCGAGAGGGGGGUGGGAAAAAAUGAGGGCGCGUGGGGAGCUGAGAGG